rnacentral:tRNA from 1 species
UGAACUGUGGCUCAGGGGCAGAGCAUCUGCUUUAUAUGCGGAAGGUCUCCGGUUCAAUCCCGGGCACCUCCA